GGGAUGCAGGCUUCCUGGAGUCGGGCCCUUGCUCUGCUGGGCCGCCAGGAGAAUGUGACACUGUGACAGUUGCAAUUGACCUAUCGUGAACUGUCCAGCUUUGUUUACAAAAAUACCAAGGAUCAGAGUUCACCUCUCCCUGAGGAAACUCCUGUUCAGGGAAAAACAAGAAAACCAAUCUAGGAGUGUCUAAUGGCUUCGUUUUAUUGCUCACUUCUUUCUCCUAUACUUAUUUUUAAUAGUUUCUUUGGAAAAUGAAUGUUGAUUAGAUUUAGGGCACCAUGAGAUAUUUUCCAUGGUCCGGAGCAACCACGGGGUUCCAUUUGGGGUACAUUUUCCUUUUGUUCAGCCAGUGGUUACUGCAGACUCCGUUUUGCCUCCACGUCUGAACACUUCCCUCCUCCGAAGUUCACCACGGGCGUCACGAAGGAUCCAUCCACAGUCACUUUCUGACAGAUCAGCACUGGCUUGAUCCCAGAGGAUGGGAGACCCAGCAAGACGGGGCUGGCAGGGGCCCACCCUGGCUGGCCUGAAGCCCUUGACCGCGUCAACACAAUCCGAAAGACCUGGGCAGCUGAAAGCAGAGCUGAGGAGGUCUACCAGAGGAAUUCCAGCUCCGGUGCCGGCGUUGUGCUGCAGCUUCAACACUGGCACUCCGUACCUGAGAGCUGCUCUGCUUCCCAUCAAGCUUCCUGAUAACGCACCUGGAAGCAGCAGAAGAUGGCCCAAGUACUUGGGCCCCUACCACCCAAAGAAAAGACCCGGCUGGAGUUCAUGGCUCCUGGCUUCAGCACAGGCCAGCUUAGACUGUUGCAGCCAUUUGCUAUUUGGGUAGUGAAACAGUGAGUAGAUGAUCUCUCUCUGUCUCUCAUACACACUGUACCUUUCAAAUAUAUAAACACUUGUUUUUUUAAAUGAAGAUUCAGGCUUCAGGCCUGGAUGGUAUUGAACUUGGGUUUCCAGCUGUACCACUGAGGAUGUGGAGCAAGCCCUCAAGCCGGCACCAUCUCAUCCGGUUCAGGAGACCUGGCUGGAGGCUGAUCCCUCUGUCUGGAGUCCUCUGGCCCCUAGGUUUUGGAGGGAGUCCCCAGUUCAGGAUCUGUGCACCUCUGCACUACUGCUCUCUCUCAUCAGUAGCAGGGAUGCUAGGGAACUUAUGCAGGUGGCUCCUGGCAGAGGAGUAGUCAUCAAGGGCCUUGGAACCAAGGGCUUGGGUUCAGACUUCAGCUCUAGGUGCUCAGUUUUCUCAUCUGUCAAAUGGAGACAAUAUCAGCCAGCUGAGGGAAUCGCUGGGAAGAAUCCGUAUGGAAUGGUGUGCUCACUCCCUGCAGGGCCUGGCACACGCCAAGUGCUAACUAAGGGGUAGGCCACUGCCGCAGGCUCUUCAGACCCAUGCGUGGAUGGGAACGUGACUAAGGGAGCCCUGUUCUAUGCCACACAUCCUAUGAGCGAUUUUUUGGGUGUACGGGGAAU
rnacentral:lncRNA from 1 species